CAGCAGCCACGGUAAUACGAAGGGUGCAAGCGUUAAUCGGAAUUACUGGGCGUAAAGCGCGCGUAGGUGGUUUGGUAAGAUGGAUGUGAAAUCCCCGGGCUCAACCUGGGAACUGCAUCCAUAACUGCCUGACUAGAGUACGGUAGAGGGUGGUGGAAUUUCCUGUGUAGCGGUGAAAUGCGUAGAUAUAGGAAGGAACACCAGUGGCGAAGGCGACCACCUGGACUGAUACUGACACUGAGGUGCGAAAGCGUGGGGAGCAAACAGGAUUAGAUACCCCCUGUAGUCCCUGUCUCUUAUU
rnacentral:rRNA from 1 species